rnacentral:rRNA from 1 species
AACGUAGGUGGCGAGCGUUAUCCGGAUUUACUGGGCGUAAAGCGUGUGCAGGCGGAGGAACAAGUGGUGUAUGAAAUCGCUCGGCUAAACCGGGCGGGGGUUAUGCCAGACUGUUUUUCUAGAGUGCGAGAGAGGGGCGUGGAAUUCCGGGGUGUAGUGGUGAAAUGCGUAGAGAUCCGGAGGAACCCCAGAGGCGAAGGCGGCGCCCCUGGCUCGCAACUGACGCUCAGACACGACAGCAUGGGGGAGCGAACGGGG